ensembl:lncRNA
GGGUUAUUACUUGAUAACAAUAAUAAUAAUUAUUAUUAUUGAUGUUGUUAUUGUUGCAUUUUAUGUGAAUGCAACUUAUAUUGUUUUCUUUCUACAGGAGCAAAAUUUAGAAAUAGAAAGUGCUGUAAGGAAUCUGCUUAGCUGCAUCCGAAGGCAUAGCAGCCCUCAAGCACAUGAAAAUCCCAACAGUUCUCCCACCGUGGCACCUCAGCCUGGUACUAGUGCUUCCUUUGGGGUUGGCCAGACUGUUAGUAGGCCAAACACAGUUCAGCAAGAAAUGCAAAGAGCUUUUCCAGCACUUUACCAUGGAAGCCGUAAACGAAUGAAAAAAAUGGCACCUGAACCUGCAAAACUUACAUCUGUAAAGUUCUUAGAAUUCCAGUUCUGCUUGCUGUCCAAAAACUCCCAAAAGACUCCCAAAGAUGAAACAGUUCUCUUACAAGCAGGGCUAGGCAGAAGAACUGUAAAUAUUCCAGACAAUGCUGAUCAUACUGAGGUGAGCCAUGGUGUAAAACUUGAUGUUUAAAUAUGUUUUGGACAAAAGAUAUUACAAGUUUUUGUUCCUGUUUUAUUUACAUUGUUUUAUUUAUUUAUUAUUUAUUAUGUAUUUAUUUAUUUAUUAUUAUUGUUUUUAGUAUUAUUAAAUUUUUAAAAAGGAGGAACAAUUUUUCCCAUUUGUGUUUUCAUAAAGUAUUUUACUUGUAUUUCUGCCUUCUAAUAUCCAGAUAACCAAAGUACUUCUUCAGGAGUACCCAAAGUUGCAAAACUUAAGGGGUGGUUGGCUGCCCCAAAAAGCCUC